AUACUACUCCCUCCGUUUGAAAAUACUUGUCGGAGAAAUAUAUAAAAAUGGAUGUAUCUAGAACCAAAAUAUGUCUAAAUACAUUCAUUCCUCUGACAAGUAUUUCCGGACGGAGGGAGUACUUA
rfam:Triticum aestivum genome assembly, contig: Triticum_aestivum_CS42_TGACv1_scaffold_147196_2BS